CAUUCUUCUUCCAGCCGUUUCUUUCUUCUUCUCGAUUCUUCUCGACAGAAAGAAGAACACCCAUGCCGUGAAGGACACCAACCAUACCGAAGGACGAUUCCAUCUACCAAACGCAUCAACAAAAGUUGAUGCGUUUGGUAGAGGUGGGAAUUGCUUCCUCUGUCUUCUUCUUCUUCUGCCUCUACGGUUUCUGGUUAGAAUCAGAUUCAUGAAGCCGGUGAAAGGACGAGUCCGCUUUCAAAUCGUCUAUGGCCAAAUCUCUGCUUUCGACUAGGCGGAGGCUCCAGCUUAAUCCUCCCUAGCUAUAAGCACACGCCAACAUACUAAUGCUCAACUCGCUUAACAGACCGGUGGACCUUCUGCCCAGCUUCGUGGGCGCUACCUCGUCCCCAAACGACACUUUGGAGUGGAAAUGCGCGUGAUUUUACUAGAACAGGGCUUGGAUGGAGUUCCACAACAAGAGCGGCACUAAAUUUGGCGGUGGUAUCCUUCACGUACAUCAAGAUAAUACUAGCAUGACGUUUGGUUCACAAGCUACAAGGGAGUACACCCGUGGGUCUCCACCAGAGCUGUUGCACAUGCAGGUUGGCAGGUUGGUGGUGGUUUCGAGAGAAGAAUAUUGUCUAUGAAAUCGUCAUUCAUGCCCCCCUAAAAAAAUGAAGUCCUUAAUUAAUUGGUAAUAAAAGCAUUAAGGGGCAAUGCUUACUCAUUUAGUGGUUGUCACAAAUGUAUUCCAACAUGUUAAAUUAAAAUGAGAUACAUCAGCUAUGGAGCGGUGGAAUUGUUGUCUAUAAGACUGAUUUGGUAGUGUUUAUGUAUAGGUUAUUAGGACCGUUGAAAGAGAAAUAUAAAAAUAGAUAUGCUAUAAUGGUGAUAAUUCAUACAUGAUGCUUUUUAAGGUCCAUGAUGCAUUAUAAUGAAGAAACAUUUGAUAGAAUUACAAUUGUAUAUAUGUACCUUUUGGUUUGAAGAAAUGUAUAUGUGCUAUCUAAAGUAACUCUCUUCAGUUUU